rnacentral:rRNA from 1 species
UACGUAGGCAGCGAGCGUUGCUCGGAAUCACUGGGCGUAAAGGGUGCGUAGGCGGGUCUUUUAAGUCAGGGGUGAAAUCCUGGAGCUCAACUCCAGAACUGCCUUUGAUACUGAGGGGCUCGAGUCCGGGAGAGGUGAGUGGAACUGCGAGUGUAGAGGUGAAAUUCGUAGAUAUUCGCAAGAACACCAGUGGCGAAGGCGGCUCACUGGCCCGGUACUGACGCUGAGGUGCGAAAGCGUGGGGAGCAAACAGGG